GAUGGAGUGACACACACUCCCUCCGCUCUCGCCCUCACAGCCGCUCAACCAACGGCCUCGUCUCCCACCAUUGCUGCCUCUCCCUCUCACACCUCGCCGGCACCUCUCCCUCCAUCGCGUCACUGGCGCCUCUCCCUCUCGUGAUGCCAUUGCCUCUCCGUUGGCCCCGUCGCUAUCGCCCCUGAUGUGUUGCGGUGCCAUGAACCGGCCUCACAGGCAUGGCCAAGGUGACGACAGCUCCUCGAUGCCGCCGCCCUCUACAAGGAGCGAUGACAUCUCCAAGCUCUGCGGCACGGCAUGCGCCGAGCGACGCGCCGUGGGGCACCGCCACCUCAGCCACUAGCAUGGCCGACCACCCAUCCACGUGCCCACCGCUGCCGUCGGCUGGCCACAUGACAUCGCUCUCGUCCAGCUCGAAGCACGCGCCAUCAUCGCCCGCCUUCGACUCCUCCAGCAGGUCAAGAAACCGGAACACCCCCCGCGCUUGGCGACCUUGGCAUCUCCAUUGACCGUCUCAGCAAGCGCUACCUCGCCCAGCUCUUGCAUAGACGAUGCAAGCCAAGAAACAGUGAGUGCUGGCAGUAGUACUCUGAAUCCAUCAAUGCAACUGAAUCUAAACAUGUGAAUCAAGCUAUGGCAGGAGUAAGAGAAAAGGAACAAACAUAAAUAAGCUACUUCAAUAUUAUGGUACACAAGGAGUAAGUUUGAGCUAAGUUUUCUCAUGCAUUUCCUAGUAAGUAUAAAAAAAGAUUUAUUUGUAUGAUCCAUGUUUAAUGAAUAUAUAUCCUUUUUACUUUAAUAUAUAUGUUUUUUGUACAACAAACAUUGCCGAUCCAAGGUCCCAAGAAGCCCAAGCCCACUCUCGCAUUCAGUCAUUGCCCUCAUGGGCCAACCAGCACCCACUAACUCCACGUGAUUCUGCUCGGCCAUGUCACUCAACAUGAACAUCUCCUCGAGUAAGUAGCAACACCCCCAUGGUCGUCUAAAUUUUCAUAUUAUUUUUGUGUGUGUGCUGAUGUUGCCUUCUCUUUUCCAUUGCUGAUGAGCUACCCAAGAAUUGAUUUGAUCUCCAUGCACGACUCUGUAGCUCUGACUACCAUCCACCACGGGUACGGAUCAUGUGAUGUGGGGUGUAGACAUGCUGAUUGGAGAAGCCAAUUUUGCCAUGGUCAUUGUCGGUGUCAAAACCGGCAGAUCUCGGGUAGGGGUCCCGAACUGUGUAUCUGAGGAUCGAUAGUAACAAGGGAUGAUUGGGACACGAUGUUUACCCAGGUUCGGGCCCUCUUAAAGGAGUUAAAACCCUAUGUCCUGCUUGAUUGUAUUCAGUGAGUAUAGGGGUUACAAGAGUUGAUAUACCUCCAGAUCGUAAUGGAUAAACCCUAACUGUCUAGCCUAUGAGAAUUCUGAUGAUCUGUACAAACUAAAUCCUCUGGUUUAUAUACACACCGAAGGGCCUAGGGUUGUCUGGAGUCGGUUUGUGGGGGAAGGAAAUAACAUAUCCGGACAACAAUCUUGCCGUUCACGCAUAUAGGAGUCCUACCCAGACACGGGGAAAGUCUUCUGCUUGUAUCUUUACGGCCCAUUAGUCUGGCCCAUAUCAAAUAGCCCGGACACCCGAGGACCCCCUAAUCCAGGACUCCCUCAGUAGCCCCUGAACUUGCCUUCAAUUGACGAUGUAGUAUCCGGCUUAUGUCUUCGGCUUUUGCAAGGCAGGUUCUUCAUUAUACCUCGGACGGAUAAUAGUCCGGCCCCGACUUUCAUGUUCUGCCUUUAUGACUCGUUCCAUAUCGUCGCCUCGCUUUCCACGUGUUGGGCGAAUGUGAACGGUCCAUAAUAAUUUUUACAAAUAAAACCCAUGACCACACCGGGACGCCGCCUAUAUAAAGAGGUUAGAUCCCCAAGUGCCAUCCACAUCGUGCAAAGAACAUCAGGAAUAGCCACGGAAAACUUCAAAACAUGGCCAGCGCUCCCAGCUCUUCUUCGCACCCUCAUGGCCCUCAAGAGGGUGAUUGGCGGAGCUGCUCAGUGUCCCAUGUUCAGCUGAACUGACUUCAGACGCAGGGAUAUCUCCCUCUCGCAGAUCUAGUCCCUGUGCGAGCGGGAUUGGCCUUGAUCGGCAAUGAUGCGCUAGCAGAAAAUUUCCCCAUCCCCAACAAGGAGGAGAGGGUGUGCUUCGUUUCGUUUCUGUUGCAGGGCUUAGGAUUUCCAAUCCAUCCCUUUCUCAGGGGCCUGUUGGAGUUCUACAGAAUCCAGCUGCAAAACCUCACCCCAGGUUCGAUUCUACACAUCUCGGGCUUUGUCGCUCUCUGCGAACUGUUCCUGGGCUGCGAGGCCCAUUUCGAACUAUGGACAAAGUUCUUUUGCCUCAUCCCUCACCAUCGAGGGGGUUCCAUAUUUGAAGUGGGCGGCGCCGAAGUAUGGCACAUAGCCGGAUCAGGCUACCCUAUUGGAACUUCCAAGGAAGUAUCCCAAGAAUGGUCUUCGGAAUGGUUUUAUAAUGAGGACUUCCCCCUUAUGGACCCAGUUUGGCGUGGCCACCCCGAAUUCUCCAGUGCUCCUUUGAAGAAAUGCCUCAAUUGGCACCCCUGGAAUCCCAAGGAGGAAGACAGUGCUGAAGUAAAGAGGUUGGUCAGCAAGGUCAGAUUACUAGCUCAUUCUGAGCUCUCGAUAAUCGAAGUCAUGGCCAUCACAAUAAAACAAUGUAUUCAGCCCCUUCAGUCCAUAGUAACUCCUUUGUGGUAUUAUAACGGAGAAGAUGACGCAUCUCGUUACAGAGACGCAAGGGCCUAGAUACCCCAGCCGAACUAGCCAUAAUCCUGUCUGAUCUGUAUAAGGGGGAGAAAGAAUACUUCCUUCGCUUAAACUGUCGAGAAGGCUUUUCCAUGUACAACCCCAUUGAAUGGUCAUGGAGGAAGGAGGUUGAGAACAUUCAUUGUUCCUCCCCAUAGCUAGAGGAUCAUGCUCGCAAUGAAGACCUCAGCUUCCUCCAGGAUCUGGAUAUAUACAUAGACUUCGAUGAUGGAGUAUUUUAUCAGGCGAGCCUCGACGGCUCGGAGGUGGCAAUUACGGCCGACUACCCGCGCCUUUACCCCUUCUCCAUUGAUCGGUGCUCCGCAAGCCGUACUCCAUCGAGAGCGGCUUCUACACAGGGUGAUCGUUCAAAACGAAAGGAAACCGGAAGCGCAGACGAGCCCCCUCCUCCUUCAAAUAGGAGGAGCACACGACAAACCGUGGGAAAACAUCCCGCCGGCCGUGUAUCGGCUAAUCCGGCCCCGGGCUCAUGAAUCAGGACGAGAGUUGAUACAGUACCAGAUCCACCCCCUCAUGAGGAUUCAGAUGACGUAUCUGUCACGAAUUAGGAGGUGGAGAGCAUGAUGAAUCAUCACCGACUAAAAGAGGCCAUGCACGCUCUAGUUUUUACUAAACAGGAAUCCACCGCCCUCAGCUCCGUAGAUGCAUAUAUCGGGGCAACUCGGGACGGACUUGCCAGAGUUACAUAGCUAUUAUCAAAGGAUAUACAAGUAAUAGCUUGUGCAAAUUUAAUAGAUAUAUGCCAGUAGCCCCUGAGACUUGAAGCGGUUAGACCAACCGAUUUAAGGAUUGUUAUGACCUACAGGUUCUUAGGGAGAAGAAUAAUGCGCUAUCCCAGGAGCUGAAAACAAGCCAUGGAGUUGGUGGAGAUGAAGAAAGCCACAAUGACCACCGAUCAAAAGAACAAGCUCUAGGAGGAAAAAGAUAAGCAAGCCAAAGAGAUGAAGAGCUUAAAGGCUCAGUAAUCGGCCGCGUAGAAAGAAAACGAGAAGUUAAAAGGCGGCAUAUUCGGUAUGACCCGUUGAACCAUCCAAAGGAUUUAUAGUAUCCCAUAGUUCGGAUUGUCACAACAUUGUUGUUGCAGGUCUGUUAACCGGUCAGCCUGAAGAGGAAGUAUCCGGAUUUCUAGGCGACGUCCUUAAGGAACUGUCCAUGGUGCAUGAACGAGCCCGGAAAUCUAUGAGAAGCAUGGCGAGGGCUUUAUGGUCAUCCGAUGCCCCUCCAGAAAGUAUAGAGGGGUUGGCAAACCUGUUCAAAGGUGCCUGGCAUUGUUUCAAGCUAUGGAAGGCGUCCACAUGCCGUGAAGGUGCAUGAGAGGUGUGGGCGAUGGUGAAAACGCGCUACACCGGACUCGAUCCGAACCAUAUGGCCCGGGUUGGCCUUAGGGACCCGAGGGAAAAGACAUUCCCGUGAACUUGGUAUAUGAUCAAGUGGUGAUAGCUGCAAAGUACUCACAAGAAGACUGUAGUUUAGACAGUCUUAUAUAUGGCAUAGAUAAAGAGUAGGCGUUCGAUUCUAUGUAUCAACGUACCUUUAUCAUCGAACUUAUCUCCAACCGAACAUGUCAAAAUUUGUCAUUGCAGGCCUUCAGCUUCAACUUCCAAGCCAGAAAGGUGGAGUGUUUCUGGAUACCAUGUUCGAAUGUAAGAAACAUUCAUUAUGUCUGGUAACCAGGCAACCCGACCGUCUUGCUCAAACAGACAAAAUUUAGUUUGGGGAGUUAUGUUAUAUUACUUAUCUAACGUAAGAAACAUCUUCCAAGGAAAAUAGUUUCGUUGAGAGUUCCUUUCCUUGGGUUGGCAUGCUUAAUUACGCGUGCCUAGGCUUUGAUCCGAAUUACGGGGAGCCUAUCCCGUAUUUUUUAGAAGAGUUACAUAAACGUAAACAAUACGUCGUUGCUUGCCAACCAAUUAUUCUUUUAAGAGCGCUAGCUUUCAGCUUCACCUGUCUGAGGUACAGGUCCAGAUUACCCGGUUGUAACACUCGCAGAGGUGCUCCCUUUACACCCUAGCCGAACAAUCGAGAAUAUAGGGUAUAAACGCAGGAGCGAGGCAACCCAGUGAUAUGUCCCCAACGUAUCUAUAAUUUUUGAUUGCUCC